rnacentral:lncRNA from 1 species
AUAAUACAGUUUUUCCAUAGAAUAUUGUUUUUAUUAAAGAAAUCAUCUAUUGUAAGAGUGUAUCUUCUCUGGAACAGCAGUCUCUUGUAAUAGUUUACAAAAGGUGCAUUAUUUAAUGUUUGAAAAAGAAUCUAGCAAAUACUAUCACUUUUCACUCAGAGUAUUUAGAAUCAGUGCCAGAAUACUUAGAUUACUUUACAUAUAUGAUGUGUGACUGUCUGACAGGUGGCCAUAAUGAAGAAGCCAGUGUCAUUUUAUAUGUUAAAAUGUAUAGUAAGAUAUAUUGUAUUACAUCAUAUUACAUAUAUUGUAUCACAGCUAUGUAUUAUAUCAUAUCAUAUUACAUCAUACUUAAAAUAUGUAUAUCUAUUAAGAUAAAGAUUAAAUAUAAGUAGAGCUCCUAAUAUGUUGUUCUUUUACCCUAAUAGAUCAUCACUCAUACUUCCUGGGUUAUAAUCACCUCCAUUUUGGAAAUCACUGUACAAUCUCCUUGAAUUAGUGUUGUUAAUAAUGAGCAUUUUGUAAUAAGUUCCAUUUCAUAGUAAGAAAAAUAGAUAAAUUUCAAAAAAUGAGAUCUUAAUACAAUGUAUUCUUAAAAGACCCAGAAUUGCCAAAGCAAUCUUGAUGGAUAUAAAGCAAGAGGCAUAACUCUCCCAGACUUCAGACAAUAUUACAAAGCUACAGUAAUCAAGACAGUGUGGUACUAGUCCAAAACCAGACGUAUGGGUCAAUGGAACAGAAUGAAGAGCCCAGAAAUAAAACUAGACACCUGCAGUCAAUUAAUCUUUGACAAAGAAGGCAAGAGUAUAAAAUGGGGAAAAGGCAGUCUCUUUGGCAACUGGUGCAGGGAAAAUUGGACAGCUGCAUGUAAAUCAGGGAAACUGGAACACACCCUCAUACCAUGUACCAAAAAAUAAACUCAAAAUGUCUCAAAAGACUUAAACAUAAGACAUGACAUCAUAAAACUCCUAGAAGAGAACAAAGGCAAAACAUUCUCUGACAUAAACCAUACAAAUGUUUUCUUAGGCGAGUCUCCCAAGGCAAUAGAAAUAAAAACAAAAAUAAGCAAAUGGGACCUAAUCAAAUAUAAAAGCUUUUGCACAGCAAAGGAAACCAUUAAAAACAGUGAAAAAACCUAAAGAAUGGGAGAAAAUAGUUGCAGUGAUGCAACUGACAAGGGCUUAAGCUCCAAAAUGAACAAACAACUCAGACAACAACAACAAAAAAAACAGCC